GCGGGUGUAAUUCAAUGGUAGAAUUCCAGUUUUCCAAACUGGCCACACGGGUUCGAUUCCCGUCACCCGCUCCA
rnacentral:tRNA from 1 species